rnacentral:rRNA from 1 species
AUGCGCGCCACGUGUUCGCGCAAUUGCCUGGCCGAGCUGCUCCGCCGCCUUGGCCAGGUCCAGGCGCAGGGCCAACCGCGCUGCCCCUCCCAGCUAUCUUCCGCGCGCUCCAUGACGCGCGGCCGGAGCGUGAACGAGCGGAGCAAGAAGAAGCGCGUGAACGACCUCGAGGUGGUCAUCGAGCGCUGCAAGGUGGUCUCCAAGGUGCUGGCCGUGGUGGACGCGCUCAAGAUGGAGGAGGAGCACGUCACCCCUCUCAAGCGCCUCGAGAUCCUGCGCCCGCAGCUCGGGCUCGCCAAGCCGCACAAGGUCGCCCACUUCGUGCACAGCUCGCCGCAGCUCUUCGAGGUCUGCCGCGACAGCCGCGGCGUCAUGUGGGCCGGCCUCUCUCCGCCGGCUGAGGCGCUCGUUGAGGAGGAGGCGCGCCUGCUGGAGGAGCACUCCCCCACGGCCGCAGAGUACGUGACCAGGCUGCUCAUGAUGUCGGUGCAACGGCGCCUGCCCGUUGACAAGAUCGCGCAUUUCCGGCGUGACAUGGGGCUUCCUCAUGAUUUCCGGGCACGGUGGGUGCACAUGUUCCCUGAGCUCUUCAGGUUGGUUACACUGGAGGAUGGCGACUACUUGGAGCUUGUUUCCUGGAACCCAAACUGGGCGGUCACUGAGCAUGAGAAGAAUAUGGCAGCACUGGCCGGUAACACCAAUGCCAGUUCCAAUGCUAGUACACCAGGAGAGCUCUCUCUUCCAUUCCAGAUGAAGUUCCCACCAGAUUUUAAAAGUUACUACAAAUUUAGAGGAAAAGCUCAUCACUAUGUGAAAACCGGCAAUACCGAGCAGUUUCAGAAGACAACCUACCUGUCCCCUUAUGCAGAGGCAAAAGAUUUGACCCCUGGAUCUCAUGAGUUUGACAAGAGGGCAGUCGCGGUGAUGCACGAGAUACUGAGCUUCACAUUGGAGAAGAGGCUGGUAACUGACCACCUGACGCAUUUCCGUCGUGAGUUUGUUAUGCCACAGAAGCUGAUGAGGUUGCUACUGAAGCAUUAUGGUAUUUUUUAUGUGUCUGAGAGGGGGAAGCGGCUGAGCGUGUUCUUGACAGAGGCAUAUGAUGGGACAGAGUUGAUAAAAAAGGCUCCGUUGGUAAGGUGGAGAGAGAAGGUCCUUCGACUUACUGGUUACAGAGGAAAAAACAAGAAUAUUGGAAAAGUUCAUGAGUCGUCUGAUUCUGAGCACUGUUUGUUUGGUGCGAGCUCAUCAACAUGUGACGGUGGUAGCAGUGAUGACGAUGGUGCUGAUACUAUAUUGCAUGUCGAAAGUGAAGAUUCAGAUGAUUUCUUGGAUGAUGGCACUCUUACAGAUGAUGGUGAGAUGGAUGAUGUUGACAUGGAUGAUGGUCAGAUGGAUGAUGCUGGGAUGGGUUUUUUCUAG